rnacentral:rRNA from 1 species
UACGUAGGGGGCUAGCGUUGUCCGGAAUCAUUGGGCGUAAAGCGCGUGUAGGCGGCCCGGUAAGUCCGCUGUGAAAGUCGGGGGCUCAACCCUCGAAUGCCGGUGGAUACUGUCGGGCUAGAGUGCGGAAGAGGCGAGUGGAAUUCCUGGUGUAGCGGUGAAAUGCGCAGAUAUCAGGAGGAACACCUAUUGCGAAGGCAGCUCGCUGGGACGUAACUGACGCUGAGACGCGAAAGCGUGGGGAGCAAACGGG